GGCAGAAGAAAAGAUAUGUAGCUAUGCCUCAGGAUACAACAAAUAUGCAAAAUGAAUUAAUAUUAGAUACGUUAAUAUUCAAAUUAUUUCGGCUAAUAUUAGGUUAUAUGGUAAAUUAAAUAUUUUAAUAUUAUGAUUAUCUUUUUGCAGGAUCUUUUAAGGCUGGUGAGGCCAACGGAACUACCGACGGUUUUCGCAGUGAUGUAAUAAUCCUACUCAGUACUCACCGUAUUUAUUACUAUAUUGCUUCAGGAGUAGCUGAGUUUAUUUCCCUAAGCGUCUUUAGUCAGGUUUAUAUGGGUGAUUUCUUAUCGUCUUCCCAGGCAGUUCCACCCGAAGGGAACACUUCUCUACGGUUACAAGGUUCUCAUUUCAACGCCAUACACACGGCUUAACAGAGAACUACACGCAGAGGUUUCUCCUAUAGGAUCCCUAGCAUAAGAACCCACCCGUAUAAACAUGCUAAAAAGACCGAGGGAAAAACUAAACUACUUCAUUUCACAAUAUAGCUUACAUACGGUUUUCCCUUUCGGGAACCCCCGAAGGGUUCACACAAAGAUAAAGAAAUUACCUUACUACCUUUCCAGUCUUAUGUUACAAAUGCCUUGAUUACACAGGCUUUAUUACAGUGGGAAGUGGUACUACUACUACUAGAGAGCGGAUAGUUUCUGGCUAACUGCCCUGAACUACUUGCUGCUCUGAAGGCUUGUGUUGUGCUCGAUGGUUGUGUGUCCUCCAAUGCUGCAAAGAGCCUCCUUAUAUAGGCACCAUGGCUGGCUCAAAUAGUGCUCCCAUGCAUUAUUUACCUCACCUUUCUCCAUGUCCAUGAUACACCUCCUUUAUAGGUCUUUGUAGGUCUUAGGCUUCUUUUAUAGCCUUUGGAUGCAUGCAUGCAUGGUGAUAAGGGGUCUUUUGGCUGCCACUUCUCUUUGUUUGCAUACGAACGUGGCUUCCUUCAUCUUGGGAGUAAUCUUGUGUUUUAAUGAUAGUGUCUACGACACACUGCAGCCUUAUUGUCUGCUUCCUUGGCUAUUUUUCGUCUGCACACCAUAAAUCAUAGGAUCCCAUGCAUUUGUGAUCUUGUAUGCUGAUGAUGGGUCUUAUAUGCCUAAUACAUGCUAACGAUGGCUCUUAAGAUUUAAUAUUUUUUAUUAUUUUUAAUUAUUUAUAUUAUUUUUAUUUAUUUAUUUAAUUUUUUUUUCAGUUUUCAAUCAUAUACAAAUCAAAUUAUAUUCUAUCAAUUAUUCGGGUAUAUAUAUAUAUAUAUAUAUAUAUAUAUAUAUAUAUAUAUAUCCAAAAAGAGUCUAGAUAC
rnacentral:lncRNA from 1 species